rfam:Schistosoma rodhaini strain Burundi genome assembly, scaffold: SROB_scaffold0001082
GCACUGCUGAGGAGUCCCACAACAGGACGAAACGGCCGUCCAGUGU